rnacentral:rRNA from 1 species
GACGUAGGGCGCGAGCGUUGUCCGGAAUUAUUGGGCGUAAAGAGCUCGUAGGCGGUCUGUCACGUCGGCUGUGAAAACUCGGGGCUCAACUCCGAGCCUGCAGUCGAUACGGGCAGACUAGAGUUCGGUAGGGGGAGACUGGAAUUCCUGGUGUAGCGGUGAAAUGCGCAGAUAUCAGGAGGAACACCGGUGGCGAAGGCGGGUCUCUGGGCCGAUACUGACGCUGAGGAGCGAAAGCGUGGGGAGCAAACAGG